GCUAUAUCAUGUUGAAACACAAGUUCUCAUACGAUCACUGAAGUUAAGCAACUUCGAACAUGUUCAAUAUCUUGAUGGGUGACUUCUUGGGAAUACCAGGUGCUGUAA